ensembl:lncRNA
AUUAUAGCGUCAAUAAAAUAGGCAUAUGGUGAUGUAUCUUGUGCACAGGCCAUCUUUUAUUCUGAGCCAGUGAAUAGAGUCAAAUCGUGCGAUUAACUGUAACUAAAACGUGAUUUCUGAAUAGAUACUUUAAUGUGAGGUGUGAAGUCCUGAAUAUAGUGUAGAACGACAGCUGAAAGAUGUCACUAUUCAUCAUUAUGAAAAUCUGACGGACCCUUGCUGUGGCUCUGACAGUUUGGAUGAAAAAUAAAUAAAAAACUAAACAGGAGAGGAACGAGUAUGUUUUAAAGUGUGGCUCCAAAUUGUUAAAAUAGGCAUGACGUUUCCUUUGCCUUGGGCAGUUGGCCUGGGCACAUUGCAGGUGCUCCAAGGCUAAAUUUUCCCGUGGUAUCCACUUGUGUUCCAUGUACCCAGUUGUCUCUACGUCAGCUCUCGCAGUUAUUAAGAGGUAGCCCAAACACUUGCCCAUGUCCACAUGUCCAAUGUAAACUCAUGAAGAGCGACUGGAGGCUAAUAUCAUGGAUAGACUGGGACUGGAAUCACAGGUACUUAUUUAAUAAUCAUUUAACAUCUUAGUUGUUUAUAAUGUAGUGUUUGUUAUUGCUUGUUCAUUAUAGCACAUAAUAAUACACUGUGUGCAAUCAUAUAAUUAGAAACAUUAUUAUUGUGAUACAUGAUUAUAUUUUACUGGUUACCAAUGUAUUUAUUUACCCAUUUUGUUAGCAGUUAUCAUUUAAGUUUAUUAUGCGUAGAUGACUAUUUAAUUAUUGCCAACAAUAUUUUAUAAACUCCAUUGUGCACUUCCCCAAUUAAUUAAAUGAAAUAUUAACUCAUCGACAUAAUCCAACCUUUCCAUGUAUUAGCGCCUCAUUAAACGCGUUGAUUUCUGCUAUCCAGGGCGCAGGACUAAAACCAUGUAAUCCCAUUAUGCUCAUUAGAAAGUCAAAUGUUACCAAGUCAGACUUAACUAAAAUAAAGGACCCCAGACGUCUUAUGGCGAUAUCAGCUAUUUGCCCCUGGUUACAUUUCAGUUUGUUUAGGGGGGGGACAAAAAAAUGCUGCUAUCAUUGUAUUUUGGCACCUCAUGCUAGUGAAAGAGUGUUUGAAAACAGGCACAGUACAAAACACUUCAAGCAUCUUUUGGAAGAGCGCCGGCGGAGCGGAAGAAGGCUGAUGCACUGGAUCUUUUCAGGUGGUCAUGCACUAACCUAAUCCAGGGAUAGCAUCUGCCUCUCUCUUGCUCUGUAGGCUGACGUCCAAAACACUGCUCAUCUUCUGCUGGCCUCCAGCACCUAUACAUGGCUUACAGCAGAGGGACUUUUAAGUCCAUAACACCAAAACUAGAACAGUUCUCAGUUGGAGGUUUCCUUACCAAAGGAGCCAUACUGCUAUAGCAGAACCUUUUAAAAGUACCAUCUGCUGGAUUCUUCUGCCAUGGUGAGCAAGGAGCAUCCAUCUACAGAAAAGACAUCUAAAAUAUCUCCAAUUUUCACAUAUAAACUUAGAGAGACUUUUAUUGAGCAAGGACACAUUAAAUUGAUCAGAAGUGACAGUAAAGACAUUUAUAAUGUUGCAAAAGAUUACCUAUUUCAAAUGUUGUUCUUUAGAACUUUCUAUUAACCAAANNNNNNNNNNNNNNNNNNNNNNNNNNNNAAUAAUGUUUCACAAUAUUAUCUUGUUUUACUGUAUUUUUUUAUCAAAUAGAUGCAGCCUUAAUGAGGAUAGAGACUUCUUUAAACAGUAAAACAAAAUUUACAAACUUUUAAUUGUAAGUGUAUAUUAUACAAAAUAAUAUGUAUAAUGGCAAAUAUUGGGUAAAUGAUCCUAGCAAGACCUUCUGUUUUCAUGUGCAUUAUUUGUGUAAUAAAUGACAUCUAACGCAGGCA